GACGAACGCUGGCGGCGUGCUUAACACAUGCAAGUCGAACGGAAAGGCCCUGCUUUUGUGGGGUGCUCGAGUGGCGAACGGGUGAGUAACACGUGAGUAACCUGCCCUUGACUUUGGGAUAACUUCAGGAAACUGGGGCUAAUACCGGAUAGGAGCUCCUGCUGCAUGGUGGGGGUUGGAAAGUUUCGGCGGUUGGGGAUGGACUCGCGGCUUAUCAGCUUGUUGGUGGGGUAGUGGCUUACCAAGGCUUUGACGGGUAGCCGGCCUGAGAGGGUGACCGGCCACAUUGGGACUGGGAUACGGCCCGGACUCAUACGGGAGGCAGGAGUGGGGAAUAUUGCACAAUGGGCGGAAGCCUGAUGCAGCAACGCCGCGUGCGGGAUGACGGCCUUCGGGUUGUAAACCGCUUUCGCCUGUGACGAAGCGUGAGUGACGGUAAUGGGUAAAGAAGCACCGGCUAACUACGU
rnacentral:rRNA from 1 species